UGACACAGAGCUUUAUCAGCCACAGUGAAUACUUGAUGUUUGGUGUGAUGAGAGGCUAAAGCAGGGUUCUUAACAGAAGAAUCGAAUUAUAUGAAUGAUAUAACCAUUUAAAAUAUCUUUGUAGCUUCUCUGGAGAAUGGAGUGUAAGGUGCAACAGUGGAGGCAGGGAGACUGAGGAGGUGUGCAGCCAUCCAGAUAGACAUAAUGGGGCCUUUUAGCUCAUGGUGUUAAGUGCUGCUGUUGUGCAAGGAAUCAGAUUGGGAAUACAGUUGAGAGUUGGAGUUAUCAGGAUUAUUGAAUAAUUGGAUGGGGCCCGUGGUGGGGGGGCGGUAAGAGAAAGAAAGGAUUAUCCCCAGGCUACGGCCUGAGCAUCUGGGUAAAUGGUCAUGUUGGACACUGAGAUGUAGAAGACUGAAGAAGGCAAUUUGGGGUUCAGGUGCAAAUUUGGGUGCUACUAUGAGUAAUUCCAUUGGUCUGGGUUUUCCCUGAAAUGUCUUCACAUUACAGGGAUUUAUUUCCAGAACAAGGUACUGGGGAAAGACACUAAAAAAUCUCUGGUAUGUGUUCUUGAAAGAUGGAAAGACAGACAUUGUCUUGGCUGGUUGGGGCCUGACCUGUUCUGAGAUGCAGCCAAGCCAGAUGGCCCCCUGAAGUCCCCAUGGCUUGAGGAUUCUCUUCUGUGAUCUAUGACCUGGAGGGGGGAGUAAGAAUUUUCUCUUUUAACUAACAUUUCUCCUUUUUCACAGCCUGAUCUCUUUUAGAUCCAGUCUAAUUUCUUACAGGCCUUGAGCUAAUUUGCACAGCUGGGUUUUACAUCUGGGUGAUUGCCAUCUGCACCAAUUGCCUUGCUGGCUGCAGGCAGGAUGAGACUGCAGCCUCAGGGCAGGCCACAAGCUUCUGGAACUGCCUUCUUGAGGGUGCCCUGGGCUUAAGGAUGGACUGCAUCUCCUGAGCCAGAUGCCUGCUCCAGCUUGUUCUGUCCUCCCAGCUCCCAGUCAGAGAGCCUCAGCUUCAAAUGGGCCUCAUGGACACCAGCAUCCUGAGAGAGAGAAGACAGUUUUGCCAGUUGGUAAAAUCCAUGAGAGUGGUGCUGUCAGUACCUGGUGUUUGGUGAGGAUGGAGGGAUGGGUCAGGGAACAGAAGCUGAGGAACUAAUCCCUGCAAAGAAUGACUUGGUGAGUGUGGUCCCCAGUCCAGUUGAGACUGAGGUGGUUUGGGCUUCAUAAUCCAGAAAAUCAGUUCAAUUCUUAAUGUCACCUUAUGUGCACUUAACGGUUCCUUGAGGACUUCCUAGGCACCCCCCUCUGGCCUCCUCAGUUAAGUAUGACAUGGUUUCCAUUAAUUUUUCAGUUAAAAUCAGGUUCAAAUUCAUUUUGUUUAAAGAGUUAGAGGAAAGUUUCAUGGCACCCCUUAAGAUUCCCCCUGGGGUAUCACUGGGCUGCCACCAAUCCAAGGCCAGAAUGGCAGAAAGGAAGGCAGAGAGGCAGGGAGCAUGAGGGUGUGGAUAGCAAGGCCACCCACCCAAGGCAAAACACGCCCAGUUUUGAAUUAGCCCUUGUUUGCUUUUAUUUAGAUCUCAUUGAGACCACACUAUAACCAUGCCCUCCUCGAGGCCAAGAAAAGGAAUGAGGAAAAUAAUAUACCUUGGGUGAGUGGGCUAAGCGUUUCGUUUAGAGAAAGAGAUG
rnacentral:lncRNA from 12 species